GUGCAAACUAACAGAGAGUACAAGUAAGACACUAAGGACAAUCACCCACGACAAACUCAAAGAAUAUGGCUGCCUAAAUAUGGUUCCCAAUCAGAGACAACGAUAAGCACCUGCCUCUGAUUGAGAACCACUCCAGACAGCCAUAGACCUUGCUAGACAACCCACUAAGCUACAAUCCCAAUACCACCACCAAAACCCCAAGACAAACACACCACAAUUACAAAAACCCCAUGCCACACCCUGGCCUGACCAAAUACAUAAAGAUAAACACAAAAUACUUUGACCAGGGCGUGACAGAAAGGCCACGGACAUGUGCAGUUGUCACAACGCCACACCCGCAUAGCCAUGUGAAAUCCAUAGAUUAGGGCCUAAAAAAAGUUACUUAUAUGAACUGUAACUCAGUAAAAUCGUUGCAUGAGGUGUUUAUAUUUUUGUUCAGUAUAUCAUCGCCCACCAGAUGUAUACCAAAACAAGUGGUUGAGCUGUUUUUUGUUUUAAAAUUGUACAUGUUGUCCCUGAAGAUUUUGUUGGGUGGUUUUAUAGACUACCCGUAAAACUUUAAUAGCCCGGGCAUUUAUUUACUUCAAUCACUGAACACAACCGCCGCGUAUUAGAGACAGGCAUCUAAUUGAGCCUUUUAUUUACUUUACACCCCCCCCAAAUAUAAUUUAGAGCACAGUAAAAACAUACAAAAUGGACUCCAGCCAUUAUCACCUUGCAGUAGCUUCAUUCACCUCAGUCAAUAUGGGAUUUAACAUUCGACAACACGUCACACAAUAAUUAGAUACUAUGAACUCGCUCAGCACCGGGAUUAAAACUAGUUUAGAUUCAUGUCACAUCAAACAGCAGUUACUUAACCAAAGUCAUCUACUAAAACACUUCGGCGGGGACUGCAGCAAGGAAAAUUGGUGGUGUGACGUCAUCGCAGCAAUGGCAAAAUGUCACAUAGCGACAAAUCAAAGCACCAAUAGCUGAUCUCAAUGAAAAAUAGUUGUCGAACCCUACUCUCCAUAAAGCAAGCCAGCCAGCCAUAGUUGGUUGUUUAGUAACUAUGGGGCAAAACCGACAGGGUUGGCCUAAAUUGUCGAAAAUAUGUGAACUUUAUGUUGUCUCCAAUGUUUAUUGAAAACAAAUACGCUUGCACAAUGAGCACUUGUCUCAUAUACAUUGUUAGUUGUUGGUUUUAUUUAUUUAACUAGGAAAGUCAGUUAAAAACAAAUUCUUAUUUACAAUGACGGCCUACCCUGGCCAAACUCUAACCCAGACGACGCUGGGCCAUUUGUGCACCGCCCCAUGGGACUCCCAAUCGAACCAGGGUGUGUAGUGACCUCUCUAGCAUUGAGAUGCAGUGCCUUAGACUACUGUGCCACAUGGGAGCGAUGGUUACGUAGCUAGCGAAAUUUUGCAAUAUUAUGGUAUCAAGAACGAGAUAAAACUGGCAGAAAUGAGCAAGCUAUGAUUCCCCACACGGAGUUCAUUGAUGCUAGCAAUCUGGCCAUCCAGAAACACAAAAUAAGGACUUCUGCCCAUUGAACCUCCGCAUCGUUGGUGAUGUAGUCAACUAACCCAUCUAGCUGUACAAACAGCCUUGCCUCAUGUUUCUAGGUGUCCACAUGGUCCUAAAGUCACCUUACAAUACCUCUAAACUGUAUUAGCCUUUUAAAUCGGGAUUGGAAUGAUUAGAGUAGCCCAUUUUAAAUGAUUAAACUAGGGUAUGUCGACUAUUAAAAGGGACAGUUAGGCGGUUAUUUGAGACAGCGUUUCAUUUCAGUUUUACCGGUACGCUAAUAACAUGUACUAAUAUCCAAUGGACAAACUAAUAUGGUGGAUGAUGAUGAUGAUAAUAAUAGCUCUCUACUUUACCCCGACGGUCGUUUUUGAUUUACGACCCAAAGCUUCUGUUACGGUGGCUGGGUGCUUGUAUUUGAUGUGGUUUAACAUGCUGCCGUUGUUGUAUCGGAGUAUUGCUUUGCAAAGCCGACAUAUACACAUAUCAAUGCCUUUUCUGGUGAAAUACAUCUAAGAUGUGCUACUUUGAGCACGUCACAUCGCUUCCGUUUUAUGUUGUGACAGCUUUUAUCUAGUCAAAACCUUUCCUUUAGAUCUCUGCUGCACUAGCCAAAUUAGCAAGUUAAAAAACACUAUUUAGAGUGCGGUUUUAACCGAAGGUCAAAUCGGUAAGAAUAACCGGUUAGAUAGCAAAAUAUAUACUUUUUCCCGGCUGGCAUUACAAGCGGAUAUCCGCAAAUCCAUGUAACGGAAAUGUGCGCAUGAUUAUUGAAUCGAUAGAUUAGUCAUGAAUUAAUAUAAUAUAACUCUAAGAACUUCAUUGGUCGUCUCAGAUACAGCUCUUAACAUCAGAAAAUGUAUAGCUAUUUAGUGCCGACUCUUAUACCUGCGGUCUCUUGGGCGCUCCAAUAUCUAUAGCUCCAUUGCUUUUGUCUGGUUACCAGCACAGCGUCAGAAAAGACGGAUGUCUCAAAUUUGUUCUGGUAACGUUAGUCCUUUUCGGAGGUCCAGUUUACCUGAUGCCGAGACUCUAAAUGCCUUUUCAUGCCACUGGUGCUACCUCCUUUACAUCUGAUAUUCCGGUCGCAGUGUUUACAUUUUGCCAGUGCCGCUUCUAUUCUGUCGAAGCUGUGCCACACAGCUGAACCAAAGCUGGGUGAACUUGGUGUAGACAUUGUGAAUGAAGAGAACAAAUAAACAACCAAACCACCAGAGUAACCUACGGGUUACCUUCACCAAAAGAGCUGCGUGAAUGUGAGCGCAGAUACUGUAUAUAAUGACGACAUGGUUUGGUCUCCGCCCUAACAAUGGAAGUAGUUGUCACAAAGGCGGGAAUGUAGUCGGUUUAUCGCUGUAUUCCCGCGGACAGAUUUUGACGGGAAUGAACCCUCUCGCUUCCUCUCUGGUGCUGAUCCCCCUUGAUCAGGACCCCUGUCAGCCCAGUGUGAGAGGCCUGACCUAUGCAUCCCAGGACCCCUGUCAGCCCAGUGUGAGAGGCCUGACCUAUGCAUCCCAGGACCCCUGUCAGCCCAGUGUGAGAGGCCUGACCUAUGCAUCCCAGGACCCCUGUCGGCCCAGUGUGAGAGGCCUGACCUAUGCAUCCCAGGACCCCUGUCGGCCCAGUGUGAGAGGCCUGACCUAUGCAUCCCAGGACCCCUGUCGGCCCAGUGUGAGAGGCCUGACAAGGAGGCGGGCAUAGCUAUUUGUCUCCCACGUCAAUCUUGAGGGUGACUGAAGCCUGCUUGAUUGAAGUGGGGUAUGCGGGUCUCCAUCAAUCUCUGUAGGUGGUUGAGUUUUCUAAAGUCAAAGUAAAUCACGUUUACGUGAUGACAUCACACUUUGUUACUUUGUAUAGUUUCUUGAAGCAUUCGGACAGGAGAGCAGUGCUACAAAUUGUAUGAGUCAAAGGGUCCUGCACACUGUUGGGUGGCCGGGUGCCCAUAUAAGGCAUAUGGCUCUAAUAUAUUUCUUAAAUGUCAAAUGAUGUCUCAUUAUUUCUCACCAUCAUUUAUGUUGAUCAAUAUUUCGGUUGUGCUGGCCUAAUUUGUAAAUGAUCAAAUAAAUGUCUGAUCAAUACAUACAAUUCUGAAUAUAUUGCUAUUUAUAAUGCUAAUGAAGAGGCACCAAUAAAUUGUCCAGUACACUCAUUAUAUGCUGUUUUCAUAUACAUACCUUUAUGUCUACACUUCUAAGGUGUCUCAGGCUUUACUAAUUAUUGUGAAGAAAUGUAUUCUGUAAUUAGUUACAAAACAAUAGUCUGACUAAACUUCAUAUGGAGAAAAGGAAUGCUGUAUCCUAUUUUGGAAACGUACGACUUUGUUAUUGGACUAAUAUAUGCAUAAACACAGUGCAUCUGUACACCAAGAAUGAUAUGUAAAUGUGACACAUGUCAAGAACACGAGCCAGUUCUCUUGGCCAUGAGAGCAUUUUGCAGAGAAAAUGGGUUGUGAAUUACAAUUUAGGUAAGGAUUGUUUACCUUGUUACCAGGCGACGACCACAAGGG
ensembl:lncRNA